UACAGAGGGUGCGAGCGUUGUUCGGAAUUAUUGGGCGUAAAGGGCGCGUAGGCGGUGCGGUAAGUCACCUGUGAAAUCUCCUGGCUCAACUGGGAGCUUGCAGGCGAAACUGCCGUGCUGGAGUGUGGGAGAGGUGCGUGGAAUUCCUGGUGUAGCGGUGGAAUGCGCAGAUAUCAGGAGGAACACCGGUGGCGAAGGCGGGUCUCUGGGCCGAUACUGACGCUGAGGAGCGAAAGCGUGGGGAGCGAACAGG
rnacentral:rRNA from 1 species